rfam:Rattus norvegicus chromosome 7, whole genome shotgun sequence.
UUAAAGGCUCUUUUUGGAGCUACAUUCUUUUCCUUAUAUUAUGUUG